CUAAUCAAAAGUCCAAGAUUAAUUUUCUUUUGUGUGUGACCCAUUGGGUUUCACAUCUAGCCAGCAGUAGGUCAAGUUCAUGUGCACCUAAUCCAAUUAGGUCCAAGGCACAUUGAACCCAAGUCCAUCAAUUAAUCAGAGCUCUUCUAAUUAAUUUGCUUAAGUAAAUUUUUUUAAUUUAUUGAGACCUAUAAGUCAAGAUUGAUAUCUAGAAAUAUGUCAUGACUACC
rnacentral:lncRNA from 1 species